rfam:polyprotein [echovirus 22 EV22, Harris, Genomic RNA Complete, 7339 nt].
UUUGAAAGGGGUCUCCUAGAGAGCUUGCCUAGGGCCUUAUAACCCGACUUGCUGAGCUUCUAUAGGAAAAAACCCUUUCCCAGCCUUGGGGUGGCUGGUCAAUAAAAACCCCCAU